UACGUAGGGUCCGAGCGUUGUCCGGAAUUAUUGGGCGUAAAGGGGCUCGUAGGCGGUUUGUCGCGUCGGGGAGUGAAAAACUCAGGGCUCAACCCUGAGCGUGCUUCCGAUACGGGGCAGACUAGAGGUAUGCAGGGGGAGAACGGAAUCUGGUGUAGCGGUGGAAUGCGCAGAGUAUCGAGAAGGAACACCCGGUGGGCGAAGGCGGUUCUCUGGGCAUUGACCUGACGCUGGAGGAGCGAAAGCAUGGGGGAGCGAACAGG
rnacentral:rRNA from 1 species